rnacentral:rRNA from 1 species
GAUGACGGCCUUCGGGUUGUAACCUCUUUUAGUAGGGAAGAAGGGAGCUUGCUCUUGACGGUACCUGCAGAAAAAGCACCGGCUAACUACGUGCCAGCAGCCGCGGUAAUACGUAGGGUGCAAGCGUUGUCCGGAAUUAUUGGGCGUAAAGAGCUCGUAGGCGGUUUGUCGCGUCUGCUGUGAAAUCCCGAGGCUCAACCUCGGGCUUGCAGUGGGUACGGGCAGACUAGAGUGCGGUAGGGGAGAUUGGAAUUCCUGGUGUAGCGGUGGAAUGCGCAGAUAUCAGGAGGAACACCGAUGGCGAAGGCAGAUCUCUGGGCCGUAACUGACGCUGAGGAGCGAAAGCAUGGGGAGCGAACAGGAUUAGAUACCCUGGUAGUCCAUGCCGUAAACGUUGGGCGCUAGAUGUAGGGACCUUUCCACGGUUUCUGUGUCGUAGCUAACGCAUUAAGCGCCCCGCCUGGGGAGUACGGCCGCAAGGCUAAAACUCAAAGGAAUUGACGGGGGCCCGCACAAGCGGCGGAGCAUGCGGAUUAAUUCGAUGCAACGCGAAGAACCUUACCAAGGCUUGACAUACACCGGAAACGGCCAGAGAUGGUCGCCCCCUUGUGGUCGGUGUACAGGUGGUGCAUGGUUGUCGUCAGCUCGUGUCGUGAGAUGUUGGGUUAAGUCCCGCAACGAGCGCAACCCUCGUUCUAUGUUGCCAGCGCGUUAUGGCGGGGACUCAUAGGAGACUGCCGGGGUCAACUCGGAGGAAGGUGGGGAUGACGUCAAAUCAUCAUGCCCCUUAUGUCUUGGGCUUCACGCAUGCUACAAUGGCCGGUACAAAGGGCUGCGAUACCGUAAGGUGGAGCGAAUCCCAAAAAGCCGGUCUCAGUUCGGAUUGAGGUCUGCAACUCGACCUCAUGAAGUCGGAGUCGCUAGUAAUCGCAGAUCAGCAACGCUGCGGUGAAUACGUUCCCGGGCCUUGUACACACCGCCCGUCAAGUCAUGAAAGUCGGUAACACCCGAAGCCGGUGGCCUAACCCU